GCUGCCUGGUAGAGACAGCAGGAGGUGAUGUGGUGGUGAGUGCCCUGCCCCACAAAAGGGGGUGUUUUCCUCCAGGCUGGUGAGACACAGAGAGCAAUUAUGGGAAAGCUGCUGGGAAAAGAUGAAAGAUUUUCAACCUAAGACCAUGGAUCUUCAAAAGGGCAGAAUCUGGAUAUAAGGGCUGGUUUGGCUUUGAAUUAUUUAAGUAAAAUUAAAAUGGGGCUCUUUUAUUCUGAAAUGAGAGUAUCCAUCCAAAGAUCUGUGCCAAACCCAACUGUAUACAGUCUGAUUAAAUGUCCUACAGAAAAGACCUGCAACUUGUCCCCUCAAAACAUACAGAUUUACCAAACUAACCACUCCCAAAACUAUAAGCCAUGCCAAGGCAGAAGUCAGGCCUCUCCUAAACAAAGGAAGGGAUGUGUGCUUGCCUUGAUUUGCAUUUAAACUGUAAACAGUCAUCAUGCAGGAGGAGGAAACAAAAGAAGUUCAAACAGGUGGAAAAAAACCCAGCUGGGAGUAUCCUACCGCACAUAAUCUUUGUCUCCUGAAUUUCAUCUGGAAAUGUUUUUCAAGAGGGAGACUGAAAUAUAACAAGGAGGGACAAAUGUCAAGAGACAACAGAAGGAUACAGACACUAGUGGGGGAGAACAAGGAAACAAUGAGAAGGUAUUGGUCAAUGCGAUAGGCCGUGUUCUCACCAGAAGCCUAACCCUUGUCAAGUUUUGUGUAUGCAUCACAACAGAGGAGAGUUUUAAGGAAAGAGUUGAAUUACUUUUGUGGAUGUUUAUGGGGAGCUCUCCCCAAGCAUGGCUUGGGGGACAACAUUGGAGAAAUUAUGAAGGUGCAUGUUUGAAAAUGUAGCAACAAGUGACAGUGGCUGCCAGCCACUUUUUCUGCUCUCAGUAGAUGGAUGCAUUAUGAAUAUGGCUUUACUUAGUACUUUGUUUUUAUGUUAUUUUUUGUAAUUAUUAGCACUUUUCUUACAAUAAAAUUAUUUAAUAAAAAAGACAUGAGUGUAGAUUUUAAAAUACAGUACAACCAAUGCAAGAAAGCUGAAAGCAGAAGAGAAUUUGGAGCCUGGUAUAUAGGAAAUCAUGAAAGAUCUGAGUAACAGGAUGGGGGGAUUGGAAG